rnacentral:rRNA from 1 species
CCUACGGGAGGCAGCAGUGGGGAAUAUUGCACAAUGGGGGAAACCCUGAUGCAGCGACGCCGCGUGAGUGAAGAAGUAUUUCGGUAUGUAAAGCUCUAUCCGCAGGGAAGAAAAUGACCGUACCUGAUUAAGAAGCCCCGGCCAACUACGUGCCAGCAGCCGCGGUAAUACGUAGGGGGCAAGCGUUAUCCGGAUUUACUGGGUGUAAAGGGAGCGUAGACGGCAGCACAAGUCUGGAGUGAAAUGCCGGGGCUUAACCCCGGAACUGCUUUGGAAACUGUGCAGCUGGAGUGCAGGAGAGGUAAGUGGAAUUCCUAGUGUAGCGGUGAAAUGCGUAGAUAUUAGGAGGAACACCAGUGGCGAAGGCGGCUUACUGGACUGUAACUGACGUUGAGGCUCGAAAGCGUGGGGAGCAAACAGGAUUAGAUACCCUAGUAGUC